CGAUGAAGAACGUAGCGAAAUGCGAUACUUGGUGUGAAUUGCAGAAUCCCGUGAACCAUCGAGUCUUUGAACGCAAGUUGCGCCUGAAGCCAUUAGGUUGAAGGCACGUCUGCCUGGGCGUCACGCAUUGCGUCACCCACUCCCUCGUGUUCCAAGUGGGCAC
rnacentral:rRNA from 2 species